rnacentral:rRNA from 1 species
UACGAAGGGGGUUAGCGUUGCUCGGAAUCACUGGGCGUAAAGCGCACGUAGGCGGCUUUUUAAGUCAGGGGUGAAAUCCUGGAGCUCAACUCCAGAACUGCCUUUGAUACUGGGAAGCUUGAGUCCGGAAGAGGUGAGUGGAACUCCGAGUGUAGAGGUGAAAUUCGUAGAUAUUCGGAAGAACACCAGUGGCGAAGGCGGCUCACUGGUCCGGUACUGACGCUGAGGUGCGAAAGCGUGGGGAGCAAACAGG